UAAGCUCCUUAGAAUGAGAUCCCUGAGGAUCCCCUGGAGCCCAGUCAUCUGAACACUACAAGUCCCAGCAAGCAAGGAGUGGGGGCGGGGCUUGUGACCCAUGUGACUUGUGGGCGGGGUCAGAUGGGAUCUGCGCUCCCUUGGGUUUUGGGCUCCGCCCCUCUCCCCUACCCGGUCCUGUGGCGUCGCCGCCGGCUGCUACCCCUGGAAAUCAAAUCUGUGCCUUCUGUGUUUUUGGCACCAUGCCACUUGAACCAGCUCUACCAGCUGAACCAGCCAUACCAAGAAUUGAUGAAGCAUUUGGAGAUUAUCAUCUCCUUCCCCUGUUUUAGACAAGAGAACGCCGGGAAACAGCAGCUCCUCCAAGGGCAUCCAACAAAGACCCGGCCAUGGAGGAGACAGUAGGAGACCCGCCCACAUCAGCUGUCUUGCUGGACCACUGUCACUUCUCUCAGGUCGUCUUUAACAGCGUGGAGAAGUUCUAUGUGCCUGGAGGGGACGUCACAUGCUACUACACCCUCACCGAGCACUGCACUCCCCGUCGGAAGGAUUGGAUUGGAAUCUUUAGGGUAAGUAGUUACUUCAGUACCAAGUGACUGGGAACUAGAGGUGAAUCUUCUUUACUGUGUGUUACAAGCAGUUUGCAUGUUAUAUCUGGCCAAUGUUAAAGUCCUGAACUAAGCUCCCCAGCAGUUCCCCCUUCACACACCAACAUCUGCCUUGGGACCCAAGCAAAAAUAAGGUUAUAU